AUUGAACGCUGGCGGAAUGCUUUACGCAUGCAAGUCGAACGGUAGAGGGGGCAACCCCUCGAGAGUGGCGAACGGGUGAGUAAUAUAUCGGAACGUGCCCAGUCGUGGGGGAUAACGUAGCGAAAGUUACGCUAAUACCGCAUACGAUCUAAGGAUGAAAGCGGGGGAUCGCAAGACCUCGCGCGAUUGGAGCGGCCGAUAUCAGAUUAGGUAGUUGGUGGGGUAAAGGCUCACCAAGCCAACGAUCUGUAGCUGGUCUGAGAGGACGACCAGCCACACUGGAACUGAGACACGGUCCAGACUCCUACGGGAGGCAGCAGUGGGGAAUUUUGGACAAUGGACGCAAGUCUGAUCCAGCCAUUCCGCGUGCAGGAUGAAGGCCCUCGGGUUGUAAACUGCUUUUGUACGGAACGAAAAGGUCUCUCUUAAUACGGGGGGCUCAUGACGGUACCGUAAGAACAAGCACCGGCUAACUACGUGCCAGCAGCCGCCGUAA
rnacentral:rRNA from 1 species